UACGUAGGUGGCGAGCGUUAUCCGGAAUUAUUGGGCGUAAAGGGUGCGUAGGUGGUCUUUUAAGUGAGAUGUGAAAUCCCGGGGCUUAGCCCCGGAACUGCAUUUCAAACUGGGAGACUAGAGUGCAGGAGAGGAAAGUGGAAUUCCUAGUGUAGCGGUGAAAUGCGUAGAGAUUAGGAGGAACACCAGUGGCGAAGGCGACUUUCUGGACUGUAACUGACACUGAGGCACGAAAGCGUGGGGAGCAAACAGG
rnacentral:rRNA from 1 species